GGGUCGGUGGUGGAACUGGCAUACACGUGGCACUUAAAAUGCUAUGCCGAAAGGAUUGAGGGUUCGACUCCCUCCCGACCCA
rnacentral:tRNA from 1 species